AACCCACUAUUAUAUUAUUAGACGGAAAGACCCCAAGAGCUUUUUUUGUGUAAGAUUUGUUUGGGGUAAAUGUAGAUUAUUCAUUUAUUUUUGGAUCCUUUAUGGAUAAAGGAUAAAGUUACCUUGGGGAUAACUGAGUAAAGGGCAGGGAGAGGUCCNUCCUAUUGAUCUGUUUAUUACUACCUCGAUGUUGGCUUGUUGAACCUUUUCGGUGUAGAGGCUGGAAAAGGAAGUCUGUUCGACUUUUAAAUCUUCAUGAGUUGAGUUAAGACCGGUGUAAGCCAGGUUGGUUCUUAUCUAUAAUUGGUUCUAAUUAGUACGAAAGGAUUAUUAGGAUACAGUGUUUCUGUAUGCAUGGGAAUAGGAAAUAUACA
rnacentral:rRNA from 1 species